CAUUGCAUCAACAAGCCCCUCAUCAUGUUCUGGCCACCCAUUCUCAGCCUUCUAGCGUUAUGGUGCACAGGUUUGGACUCUCAGCCUGUGCUGACUCAGCCCCCAUCAGCAUCAGUGUCACCAGGGAGCACAGUGAAGCUCUCCUGUGUCAUGGGCAGCGGGUUCAGCAUCAGUAGCUAUUAUAUAGCCUGGUACCAGCAGAAGCCUGGCAACCCCCCAAGAUACCUCUUGUACUAUUAUUCCGAUUCCAGCAAGAGCCAGGGCUCUGGAGUCCCCUCUCGUUUCUCUGCUUCCAAAGACGGAUCUAGUGGGGACGACUCCCCUCCCAUAGUGAACCUCUUCCCUCCAUCUAAAGAGGAGAUUACAAGCAAAAGCAAAGCCACCCUGGUAUGUUUGGUGCAAGACUUCAAUCCAGGCGACGCCCAGGUCACCUGGGAGGCUGACGGGGCCGCUGUCUCAAAUGGGGUGGAGACGACCAAACCAACUAAGCACAACAACAAGUACAUGCUCAGCAGUUACCUGACUGUGACUCCCUCAGACUGGGAAAGGCAUGAGAGGUACACCUGCAAGGUGACGCACAAAGGGUCCAACUAUGAGAAGAGUGUGAGCCAUUCGCAAUGUCCUUAACCCUCUCCUGCCCACAGAGCUUUGCUGCAUCUGGAUCCCAGCUGCGUAAGGAGGAAAACUUCAGAUGGGCCAUGCGACAGGCUCUUUAUGCCCCCCACCUACCCCACUUUUUCUACUGUACCACCCACAAUUUUCACACACUUUCCCUAUUUCCCCCAGCUUCAUAAGCAUCCUUGUAGUUUUAAUGAAUAAUAAAACCAGAAUCAUGCGAUUUUUGCUGUCUCUGUAUAAAAUCUCUCGAGUGGCAAUUUUAAAAAAAA